UACGUAGGGACCAAGCGUUGUCCGGAAUCAUUGGGCGUAAAGCGCGCGUAGGUGGCCAUUUAAGUCCGCUGUGAAAGUCAAAGGCUCAACCUUUGAAAGCCGGUGGAUACUGGAUGGCUAGAGUACGGAAGAGGCGAGUGGAAUUCCUGGUGUAGCGGUGGAAUGCGCAGAUAUCAGGAGGAACACCAAUAGCGAAGGCAGCUCGCUGGGACGUUACUGACACUGAGGCGCGAAAGCCAGGAGGACAAACAGG
rnacentral:rRNA from 1 species